rnacentral:rRNA from 1 species
ACUCAAAUGAAUUGACGGGGACUUGCACAAGCAGUGGAUUAUGCGGUUUAAUUCGAUGACAAACGAAAAACCUUACCAGGGUUAGAAAUCUACGUGAAGACGAGCAGAAACGUUCGUCGUCCGCAAGGACUCGUAGACAGGUGAUGCAUGGCCGUCGUCAGUUCGUGAUUUGAAUUGUUCCCUUAAGUGGGGUAACGAACGCAACCCUCGUUGCCAGUUACAAGUGUCUGGCGAGACUGCCCCCGUUUGUGUACAUGAAGAGAUUCGUGUGCAGAAACGGGGGAGGAAGGCGAGGAUGACGCCAGGUCAGCAUGUCCCUCUGAUACCCUGGGCCACACGCAUAAUACAAUCGCCGCUACAACGGGUCGCGACGCCGCAAGGCUGAGCUAAUCCUAAGAAAAGCGGCGCCAGUUCGGAUUGGGGGCUGCAACUCGACCCCAUGAAGCCGGAAUUGCUAGUAAUCGCGGGUCAGCUAUACCGCGGUGAAUACGUUCUCAAGUCUUGUACACACCGCCCGU